AGCGACUGAAGUUGGGCUCCGGGGACGCACAGCCAAUCAGGGAGGGCGGCGGAGGGAAGCCGGGGAGGGGUUGGGAGCCCCCUUUUCCUCCUUCGCCCAAAUCCGCUCCAGCUGGCCAGGCUGGGCCCUUGCCCGGGAGGCCUGGAUGGUGCGUUGGAGGAAAGCAUCGCCCAAGCGGGGGAGGCAAUCGGGAAUUGUCUUUCCUCACUCUACCACCCCCUCCUAAAAUCGCUCCACGUCGGCGGCUUCUGCCCUGCGCCUCCCCCAUAUCUCUCAAACUCUGCUUGGGGCGCGGGUAGGGAAACCUGGGGAGGGAGACUUCGGACUUGGGAAGAGCCACGUCUCUCGGUUCUCUCCCAGUACCCCCGCCCCCCCCCCGCGCGUCGCUUGCAGAGGGGGGCGCGGGGAACGCUGAGCUAGAGUCGGCCUCGCGCCCGCCACCGCCCCCCUAGAGGGUGCCUGGGCCCCCGCCACAGGCAGGUACCAGCGGCCCCCGCAGUCAGCGUCACUUGUUGCCUCAGGCCCCAUCGCCGCACACCCACGAAGGCUCUGCGGGGAGUGCGGCUCCGCGGGAGAGGGCCUAAGGUGCAGGGCCCGCGUCCUCCCGCGGGCCCUCCCUCUGUUCUCCCUUUUAUUCCUUGGGUGGGGGGGACCCCAGCCGCUUCCUGCCGUCGCGGAGUCGCGGGAAGAGAAGGCAGCCAGGGUCGGGGCCUACGGAUCACGCCAGGGACUGGGCGGGGCGCUCAUGGUACCCCGAACGUGGUUGGCACCCCCACACUCCGAGGGCCCCGGGGUCGAGGGAAACAACUGUGACCUGGUGGACACCCCUGGCUGGAACAAGUUUCCAAGGUGGGGAGUAGCGGAAAAAGAAGACGCAGAGAGACGGCGAAGCAGCAAAGGGAUAACGGGGGAAAAGAAUCUCCAGGAGGGACGGGGAUUAGGAUGGGCAAGAAGGGGAGCGGUGAUGGGCCCGCGGAAGAGAUGGGUAAGGACCGAGGAGUCAACGGAAAACGAGGGCGAGUAAAGGAAGAGAAAGCCUCGGACGGUGCGCGAAAGCAGAAGGAACCGGCCCUCAGGCUCCUGGUCCCCCACGGUCCCCUCCUCGACCCAGCUCCCGGGCGGCGAGCGCGCGAGGCUCCACGAUUUUGCGCGGCGCCCUGCAGCGUGCGCGGGGGCGGCGGGCGGGGCGGGCUCUCCGGGCACGCCGCCCCUCCCCCUUGGCGCGCCCGCCGACGUCUCGGCCUCCGGGAUCCCCCCCCCACCCACGCCUCGGCUCCCAGCGCGCGCCCCGGGCCCUCCGUGUGGCCGUGGCCUUCAAUCUGCACGUUCCUCGGCUGGGGGAGGGGGCGCUAGGUUUGCGCUGCCGUGUUCCUUCGCUUCUCCGCUCCCUACCCCCCACGUCCCAAAGGCCGCGAGGCGACAGUUCUCCCGGCACUGGAUACGGCCCACCCCCGCCUCACUCCCGCCAGGUGAGCGCGACUGGCGAGGCCACCGAGGCUCAGCGCUUCUCCGCAGCGCGCGGGGUACAAGCUUCAGGAGGACGAAGGAUAUCACCUCUCUUGUUCAUUCCUGUAUCUUCAGCAUCUAAUACAGUGCCAGGCAUAUGAGCAGUGUGACCCCGUCCAGCAGUGAAUCAUGGCCAACUGAAUGUCAAACAACUCCAUCCUGUCUCUUGAAAAGGAGCUAAGCAUGCGGUGGGUGCAGAGGGCAAGGGCAUAGAGGAAGAAUCUUGACAACCCCUUUGGCACCUGGGAGAUGGCCAGGUACAGCAGGAAGAACACGGAAUUUGAAAUCAUUAGACCGGAGAUUAGAUCUGGCCCCACCACUUACUACCUGUGUAACCUCAGGCGACUCAUCCUUAGGAGUCUUACCAGACUGUUGAGAGGAGCAAACAAGAAAUAGCAGGUUGUUGGCUGUCAUGCUGCUCUGGCCCCAGCCUGUGGGUCACGAGUCUACUGAAUGAAAAAUCCCAGACAAGGCUAAUUAUGUACUAUUCCAAUAAAAGAUCCAAGACUUCUCCAGGCUCUGCCUCCACACCAUAAAUAAGAGCAUCAAUAGUGAGUAAUCCUUGUAUUCUUGCUUCGGCCAAAAGAAUAUCUAGUUAUUAGUUGUGGCUCCGUUAGGUUUUUCCUUGGAUUUCUAACUCAUUCCUGAGAAGAAGGGUGCAUUGUGUUUUACGUUAGCAAUAUUUCUUGUUGAUUCUCAUAACUCCACUUAAUGAAAAAUAGAACUUGGUCUGGAUUCUUAGUGUCUUGUGGCUCUUUGUUGAGAACUAAUGGAUUUGAGACACAAAUCCAUUGCAGUAGUGUGGGAAACCAUCAAUAUAUUUUAAAGUCAGCUGGUAUAGUGGAAAAAAAAUAAUGAAAGGCUGGAGACUCAGCUUUGGGUUCUAGCUUCCUGACCUCUUGUGAGUAAACUUUGGAAAGUUAUUUAACUGCGUGGAGUCUUUGUUUCUUCAGCUAUAAAAUGGGCUAACCCUUAUAGGAUCUUUAGAAGGACGGAAAUAAGAUCAUGUAAAAUAUUUUGCAUAAGGUAGUAUCCAAUACAUAGUAUUUAUUCCUUUAUCUUCUGAGCUCGAAUAUUACAACUUUCUGCUAGAUUUUUAAAGAGUAAUUCACCACAUCUAUGUAUUUAUUUACAUACUAAAUGUGUAUUCAUAUCUAUCUAUAUGUCUUAUAAAUGAAGAUUUCUACUUUAUAUGGAAUUUAUAAGUCUGUCUCUUUCAAAUUUAAUGUUCUUUAAAAUUCAUCUCUUUCUGCCCACUUAUAACAGUUCAACCUGUGUAAUAUUCUUCUAUAACUCACAUGAGCAAAGAUUCGAUGAAUCAUUGGUUGUCCUCCCUUUCACCUUCCCAGGCUCGGCAAGGUCCUUCUCAUAAUUAAUCCACUGCCAGAAUCCUUGACAGACAAAGGGAGACAAACUUUCUCAAGAACAGAUGGCUGUGUCCAAUCUCAAAUCCAUAUCCGCUCCAAUUUAAAAAGCAGUGAUUCCUCCCUAUGUUCUGUACUUCUGGACACCACCAGCAUAAAUAUUUACCUUGAUAUAGUGUCUUAUUAGGAAUAUCUUCACCAUGGACUUUCUUUGAUGCUUUUCUCUUAGGGAAAGGAUUCAGAGAGUUAGAAAAUAAAAUUCCUCUUUGCUACAGGCAUCUUGGUGGAAAAUGUCAUGUUACAUGAGAAAAUGGGCCUGACUCUCUAGUUACUGUUCAUUCCCCAUUUAUUUAGUCUUUCUCUUUUUCCUCUUUAUUUUUCCCUUUUAUGCUCUGCCUUUAAACAUUUUUGAAGUAUUGUGAUGUGCCAAGACCUUUGAAACACAUGGGCAAAUAGACUAUUCAUUUUUAAAAGGUUAAUUACCAAAAGUCAGUUUCCAGGUGUUUUAAAUGUUAAUGAUUAAAAGACCUGAAAAUAACGUAUGGAUUGUAAAUCACUAUAUUUUUGAUGGUAUCCAAGCAAAAUAGUGGUUGGGGAAUCAUAAAAUUCUGCUUUCUCUAUGCUCUUUGUCUUAGAAAUACCUUGCAAAUGGUAGAAAACUUAAAUAAUGUUUGAAAUAAUUUAUCUGGCUUCAGGUGAUGCGAUAACCUCUAUAGGAACCUCUUAUUUUUCAAGGAUUUAAGACGACUAUGUUGUAGCCUUUCAACACAUCAAUAUGAAAUCUGUAACAUAAACUUGGCUUAGAAAUUGCAAAUGCCUGUAUAGAUUUGUUUUAAAAGAUAGUCACAAAUCAAAUGACCAAUUAGAAAAAAAUAUUUGCACCUGAAAUCACACAAGCAGGAUUGAUAUCCCUUAUAGAGAAACAAUAUUUUAAAAAUAGAGAAUA